AAUUUUAUAGAGUGAAAAUGAAACCAGCGAUAGUUGCAGAUGAAAUGUUUCCAGAGGGAGCUGGACCCUAUAUGGACAUUGAAGAGAUUUUGAAGAUCUGUUCGACGACGAAGACUUGGCGUGAUGAUUAGGCCGGCGGUCACCACAAAGUCAACAAUCUUGGAGUGACCUUGGAAUCAUUUCUUGGAAUUACGCAUUGAGUCAAAAUCUUCUGGAGUUACUUGUUGGAUGCUGACUUUAGUUGACAAUGCAACUUUAAGAAUUGACAGCCAUUCUGAAUUUCAUCAAUACAAACCCUUGAUCUGACCUUGGACAGUUGUGUCAAUUUCAUUAACUAUCAUAAAAUUGUCUUGUGGUAAAUGGAUGGUGUGUAAAGUAGUCACAUCUUUACAGAAUUCUAACAACAGAAUGAGAACUGCAAUCUGUGUGUCGCACUGUGGAGAAUCAUUGUAUUGAUUUCCACACAUCAAACUUCAUGAUCUGUUUCUCUUUUAAUGUUUUUUGUGUUCAUGUGUCGUUUAUAUGUAUUUGUCAAAAUUAUGUAAUAAAUUUUUAAUAUGAUUUUA